GAGUUUGAUCAUGGCUCAGAACGAACGCUGGCGGCGUGCUUAACACAUGCAAGUCGAACGUGAUUCAGAGCUUGCUCUGAUGAAAGUGGCGCACGGGUGAGUAACGCGUGGAUAACCUGCCCUGGUAUCUGGGAUAACAUCUCGAAAGGGGUGCUAAUACCGGAUAAGCCUCCGGGAUCUUCGGAUUCUGCAGGAAAAGAAGGCCUCUAUUUAUAAGCUUUCGUAUCAGGAUGGGUCCGCGUACCAUUAGCUAGUUGGUGGGGUAAUGGCCUACCAAGGCGACGAUGGUUAGCUGGUCUGAGAGGAUGAUCAGCCACACUGGAACUGAGACACGGUCCAGACUCCUACGGGAGGCAGCAGUGGGGAAUUUUGCGCAAUGGGGGAAACCCUGACGCAGCAACGCCGCGUGAGUGAUGAAGGCUUUCGGGUCGUAAAGCUCUGUCAGAGGGGAAGAAAUGGAACUGGCUAAUAUCCAGUUUUCUUGACGGUACCCUCAAAGGAAGCACCGGCUAACUCCGUGCCAGCAGCCGCGGUAAUACGGAGGGUGCAAGCGUUGUUCGGAUUUAUUGGGCGUAAAGCGCGUGUAGGCGGUUUCUUAAGUCUGAUGUGAAAGCCCUGGGCUCAACCCAGGAAGU
rnacentral:rRNA from 1 species